rnacentral:rRNA from 1 species
AGGAUAAACGCUGGCGGCGUGCCUAACACAUGCAAGUCGUACGAUCUGUAGCAAUACAGGGAGUGGCGGACUAGUGAGUAACACGUAGGAAUCUACCCCUUCGGAGGGAAUAACCAAUCGAAAGAUUGGCUAAUACCCAAGAAGUCCCGCAAGGAACAGAGUCGAAAGGCCUGGAGGGAUGAGCCUGCGGCCCAUCAGCUAGUUGGUGAGGUAAGAGCUUACCAAGGCUACGACGGGUAGGGGGCCUGAGAGGGCGUUCCCGACGCUGGAACUGAGACACGGUCCAGACGCCUACGGGUGGCAGCAGUGAGGAAUUUGGUCAAUGGGCGAAAGCCUGAACCAGCAACGCCGCGUGAAGGAUGAAGGCCCUCGGGUCGUAAACUUCUUUUAGGGGAGAAGAGAAAGGACGGUAUCCCCUGAAUAAGCCACGGCAAACUACGUGCCAGCAGCCGC